UCCGUCCCCGGAACUAAUGUUAACUGUGUGUGUGUCACAUCGUGAUGAGGACGGCGGAGAAAAAAGCGCCAGUGUUUAGUUUUUUUUAAGAAGAAAGAAAAGUCCCAAACUGCUGGAUGUGGUUUUAAAAGCUGAAACGGAGCUACACAGAGCAGGUCGGGGAGAAGAGGAGCAGAGCCGCGAGGAACUUUAACAUGAAGUCUGAGAGGAAGCUGUCAGCGGACCAGGGGACAGUUUUACCUCCAGAUGUUCUUAAAGUGAUUGUUGGUGAAGAGGAGCAGCAGGAGUGUAGCUCCAGUGUGGACCAGCAGGAGCCAGAGCCCCCCCCACACAUUAAAGAGGAACAGGAGGAACUGUGGAGCAGUCAGGA